GCAUUAGUAGCUCAGAGUCAGAGCCCUGGUCUUGUAAACCAGUUGUCGGGGGUUAAACUCCCCCCUAUUGCU
rnacentral:tRNA from 1 species